rnacentral:lncRNA from 1 species
AGUUGUUGUCAGUUUGUGUAGAAGCAGUUUAGAAGUUUCAUUGAAGUUAAUUAAGGGCCUGUUUAGCCUAGCUUCUGUAAAAGUGAUUUUGGUUUGGUGAAUUAAUUUUGAUGAAAAGCUGUAGAGUGUUUUGUCGAAUUUAGAAAAAAGUGAUUUUCCUGAAAUGAUUUUCUAAAACUGUUUGGUAAAAAAUUUUUGAUGUUUGCAUAUAUUAAUAUUUUUACUAAAUUUUAUUUUUAAAAUAAUUUACAAUUUGAAUUUAAAUUAAAAUUUUAAAUUUGAAUUAAAAGUAUAAUUUUUAAAUUUCAAACUUGUAAAAAAAUAAAUUUAAAAUUUCAAAAUUUAAAAUUUAAAAUUUGAAUUUUUAAAUCUAAAUUUAAAUUUCAAAUUUUAAAUUUCAAAAUUCAAAAUUCAAAAUUCAAAAUUCAAAAUUCAAAAUUCAAAAUUCAAAAUUCAAAUAUAAAAUAUAAAAUAUAAAAUAUAAAAUAUGAAUUUUGAAAUUUAAACUUAAAAUUAAAAUUUUAAAUUUUAAAAUUUAAAAUUUUGAAAUUUGAAAUUAAAAUUAAAAUUUAAAAUUUGAAUUUUUGAAAUUUGAAAUUUGAAAUUUAAAAUUUGAAACUUAAAUUUUAAAUUUUAAAAUUUAAAUUUUAAAUUUAAAAAGUUGAAAUUUAAAAAUUCAAAUAUGAAUUUAAAAUUUUAAAAUUUAAAUUUAAUCUUAAAUUUAUACUUUGAAUCUAAAAUAAAAAUAAAAAUUAGAAGUUUGAGUUUAAAAUCAGAAUCAGUUUUAGAGAAACAGUUUUUUUCUACUUCUGAUUCUUAAGCCUUCAAAAUCAGUUUUCUAAUUCUAAAAAGCAGAAUCAGAUUUUCAGAAUGUCAUUCCAAACGCUCUACUGAGCUCAAAAGUGAUUUUGAGCUCAGAAUCACUUUUAAAUAGCUUGGCCAAACACUCCCUAAGUUUUCGAUUCUACUGGCAAUUUUCCUCUGCUCAGUGCUCACCCACUUUUAUGAAAUGGGUAUCUGACUAUUCAGUCUUGGGAUACUCGAUUCUCAAAAUUACGUUCCACUUCUAAUUAGUACUUUAACAAUUAUAUAUAACAUACCUCAAUACUAAUAGGCAAAGAGAUGAUGUUGAGACGGUUGAUCAUCUGUUUGUCGGAUGCGUAAUCAGCAAAUUUUUAAUAUUCAACAUUCUAGAAGGUGGACACAUCUCGGGGCCUGGGAUGGAGGUCAGGGGUGUCUGGGAGUUUCUUGUUGGGGACCGCCACCCAGGGGCAACAGUGAGGGAUCUAACCAGGGUCACAAUUUGUUGAUGGAUGAUCUGACGGAAAAGAAAUGACAUAAUUUUUAGAAACCAAUCAUUUGAAUUUUUUUUUGACAAUUAGAUGAAUCCGAAAAAUGAGUCAGAAAUGGACAGAGUUUUGCAGCUCUUAGUGACUUGGUUUUGAGUGAGGAAUAGAAUUAGCAAUUUUUCUAUGAAUUUUCCUCUCUGCUUUCAUUUGUAUUUUAUGUUUUGUUUACUCUUAAUGUUUUUCGAUGCCACGUUGCCUCAACCCUUAUAGCCAAAUUUAUUUUCUAAAUAAAUGAAGCGGGUAGCGUGCUACUUUUUGCUCAAAUAAAAAUAGACAAAAUGACUUAAAAAAUAAUACAAAUAAAUAAUUAAAGACAAUAUAUUUCAAACAUUAUAUAUUUAACACCCAAAGAUCGAAAACGCGACUAUAAUAUCAUUGCCCUGGUACUACAGAUAGUAUAGAAGCCUAGCCCUCUCUCUCUCUCUCUCUCUCU